UACGAAGGGGACUAGCGUUGUUCGGAAUCACUGGGCGUAAAGCGCACGUAGGCGGAUGUGUCAGUCAGGGGUGAAAUCCCCAGGCUCAACCUGGGAACUGCGUCUGAUACUGGAUGGCUUGAAUCCGGGAGAGGGAUGCAGAAUUCCAGGUGUAGCGGUGAAAUGCGUAGAUAUCUGGAGGAAUACCGGUGGCGAAGGCGGCAUCCUGGACCGGCAUUGACGCUGAGGAGCGAAAGCCAGGGGAGCAAACGGG
rnacentral:rRNA from 1 species